CAAUAGCGUAUAUUAAAGUUGUUGCAGUUAAAAAGCUCGUAGUUGGAUUUCUGGUUGAAGCGACCGGUCGGGCGUUGAUUCGUCUGCACUGGAGUCGGUUUUGGCCAUCCUCUAGGAAAGUGCGUCUGGUAUUAAGUUAUCGGGCGUAUGAACCUGGUCUUUUACUGUGAAAAAAUUAGAGUGUUUAAAGCAGGCCUUCGCCUUGAAUACAUUAGCAUGGAAUAAUAAGAUAGGACUUUGGUCUAUUUUGUUGGUUUGCAGACCGAAGUAAUGAUUAAUAGGGAUAGUUGGGGUAUUUAUAUUCCGAUGUCAGAGGUGAAAUUCUUAGAUUUUCGGAAGAUAAACUUAUGCGAAAGCAUUUACCAAGGAUGUUUUCAUUA
rnacentral:rRNA from 1 species